rnacentral:rRNA from 1 species
GAGCCCAAACCGGAAACUUGUUUCCGGGGUUGAGGACAUAACAUAAAGAGAAGUAAUGGCUAAUUGAAGAGAACUGGAAAGUUCCACCGUAGAAGGUAAUAGUCCUGUAAAUGAAAGCUAGUAUAAUCGAGUUAUGAUCCAGAGUACCACGAGACACGUGAAACCUUGUGGGAAGCAGGGAGGACCACCUCCCAAGGCUAAAUACUACCUGAUGACCGAUAGUGAAGCAGUACCGUGAGGGAAAGGUGAAAAGAACCCCGGGAGGGGAGUGAAAUAGAACCUGAAACCGUGUGCCUACAACCGCUCAGAGCCCCUUAUGAGGGUGAUGAGGUGCUUUUUGUAGAACGAGCCAACGAGUUACGGUAUGUAGCAAGGUUAAGUACUUAAGGUACGGAGCCGAAGGGAAACCGAGUCUGAAUAGGGCGACUAGUUGCAUGCCGUAGACCCGAAACCGGGUGACCUAUCCAUGGCCAGGUUGAAGCGAGGGUAAAACCUCGUGGAGGACCGAACCACGUUGCUGUUGAAAAAGCAUGGGAUGAGCUGUGGAUAGCGGAGAAAUUCCAAUCGAACCCGGAGAUAGCUGGUUCUCUCCGAAAUAGCUUUAGGGCUAGCGUCGAGUAUGAGUAGUGGAGGUAGAGCACUGAAUGGGCUAGGGGGCAUAGCGCUUACCGAACCUUAUCAAACUCCGAAUGCCACAUACUUUGAGCUCGGCAGUCAGACUACGAAUGAUAAGAUCCGUGGUCAAAAGGGAAACAGCCCAGAUCGUCAGCUAAGGUCCCAAAGUGUAAGUUAAGUGGGAAAGGAUGUGAGAUUUCUAAGACAACUAGGAUGUUGGCUUAGAAGCAGCCAUUCAUUAAAAGAGUGCGUAAUAGCUCACUAGUCGAGAGAUCUUGCGCCGAAAAUGUAACGGGGCUAAACUUACCACCGAAGCUACGGGCUUGAACUUAGUUCAAGCGGUAGGAGAGCGUCGUAACCGGGCUGAAGUCGUACCGUAAGGAGCGGUGGACUGGUUACGAGUGAGAAUGUUGGCAUCAGUAGCGAGAUGUGGGUGAGAAUCCCACAGGCCGAAAACCUAAGGUUUCCUCAGGAAGGUUCGUCCGCUGAGGGUUAGUCGGGACCUAAGCCGAGGCCGAAAGGCGUAGGUGAUGGACAACUGGUUGAUAUUCCAGUACCACUACCAUCGUUAUUAUCGAUGGCGUGACGCAGGAGGAUAGUGUGUGCUAGCUAUUGGAUGCUAGUCUAAGCGUUUAGGCAGUGAGAGUAGGCAAAUCCGCUCUCAUAAUGCUGAGGCGUGAUGGGGAAGGUUCUACGGAACCGAAGUACAUGAUUCCACGCUGCCAAGAAAAGCGUCUAGAGAGAGAAGUAGUGCCCGUACCGCAAACCGACACAGGUAGGUGAGGAGAGAAUCCUAAGGCCGGCGGAAGAAUUACAGUUAAGGAACUCGGCAAAUUGACCCCGUAAGUUCGCGAGAAGGGGUGCCUACGAGAGUAGGCCGCAGAGAAUAGGCCCAAGCAACUGUUUAGCAAAAACACAGGUCUCUGCUAAAGCGUAAGCUGAUGUAUAGGGGCUGACGCCUGCCCGGUGCUGGAAGGUUAAGGGGAACACUUAGCGCAAGCGAAGGUGUGAACUUAAGCCCCAGUAAACGGCGGCCGUAACUAUAACGGUCCUAAGGUAGCGAAAUUCCUUGUCAGGUAAGUUCUGACCCGCACGAAUGGCGUAAUGACUUGGGCACUGUCUCAACUGUAAAUCCGGCGAAGUUGUAGUGCGAGUGAAGAUGCUCGCUACCCGCGAUUGGACGGAAAGACCCCGUAGAGCUUUACUGUAGCUUAGCAUUGAGUUUUGGUAUUGUCUGUACAGGAUAGGUGGGAGACUAGGAAACCAGGGCGUCAGCCUUGGUGGAGUCAACCUUGGGAUACCACCCUGACAGUACUGAAAUUCUAACUGGCGGCCAUGAAUCUGGUCACAGGACAUUGUUAGGUGGGCAGUUUGACUGGGGCGGUCGCCUCCUAAAAAGUAACGGAGGCGCCCAAAGGUUCCCUCAGAACGGUCGGAAAUCGUUCGAAGAGUGCAAAGGCAGAAGGGAGCCUGACUGCGACACCCACAAGUGGAGCAGGGACGAAAGUCGGGCUUAGUGAUCCGGUGGUACCUCGUGGGAGGGCCAUCGCUCAACGGAUAAAAGCUACCUCGGGGAUAACAGGCUGAUCUCCCCCAAGAGUCCACAUCGACGGGGAGGUUUGGCACCUCGAUGUCGGCUCGUCGCAUCCUGGGGCUGAAGUAGGUCCCAAGGGUUGGGCUGUUCGCCCAUUAAAGCGGCACGCGAGCUGGGUUCAGAACGUCGUGAGACAGUUCGGUCCCUAUCCGUCGCGGGCGUAGGAAAUUUGAGAGGAGCUGUCCUUAGUACGAGAGGACCGGGAUGGACUGACCUCUGGUGUACCAGUUGUUCCGCCAGGAGCACAGCUGGGUAGCUAAGUCGGGAAUGGAUAAACGCUGAAAGCAUCUAAGCGUGAAGCCAACCUCAAGAUGAGAUUUCCCAUAGCGUAAGCUAGUAAGAUCCCUUGAAGAACACAAGGUUGAUAGGUCGGGGGUGUAAGCAUGGUAACAUGUUCAGCUGACCGAUACUAAUAGAUCGAGGGCUUGACCAAAU